GGGUCGCUAGCUAAACUGGAUAAGGCACCGGGCUUUUAACUCGGGGAUUGAAGGUUCGAAUCCUUCGCGGCCCA
rnacentral:tRNA from 1 species